UUUAAUUUUCAUUAUUGUUUAAUUUCACAGUAUGUAAAUGGCCGCUCAAUGUUGACCAAAAAUGUACCAAACAUAUUGGCACGUGCGCCCACCAACUGUUCUGGUGGAUUUCGUUCUUCAAAUACUAUUGACAAUGAAAUAUAUAUGUGAUUGAUUUCUUUAAAGAAUAAUAAUAAUGAAUAAAUUAUCAGGCUCUCAAAAAUAAUAAAAUAGAUCAACUCAACCUUUGGAAUUCCAAGAACAGUUGUACAUGGAGACAUUUAAAAAUUUUAAAAUUAACUUCUAAAGAAAUUGUUUUUAAAUAAGGUGGUGAUAUUUUCACACAUAAAUUCGGUAAAUCCAACCUACUU
rnacentral:lncRNA from 1 species